rnacentral:rRNA from 1 species
UACGUAGGGGGCGAGCGUUAUCCGGAAUUACUGGGCGUAAAGAGUACGUAGGUGGCACUGUAAGCGGGUGGUGAAAGCCCGGGGCUUAACUCCGGCGAGCCAUUCGAACUGCAGAGCUUGAGUGCUGGAGGGGAAAGUGGAAUUCCUGGUGUAGCGGUGAAAUGCGUAGAUAUCAGGAGGAACACCGGUGGCGAAGGCGACUUUCUGGACAGUAACUGACACUGAGGUACGAAAGCGUGGGGAGC